UGCAGGACUCAUGCUUUCUGAGGCUUCCUCUCUCCAUCUGUGAUUCUCUACCUGAAAGGCUUCUACUACCUACUUUCUUAUCUCUUCCCUACUGUGCCAUUUGGUUAAUUCUGCAUCCUUUAGGUCUUACUUGGAACAUUACUUCCUCAGCCGAGUCUUCUCUGACAAUAAUAGAAAACCUAGACUAAAUUAAUUACAGCUGACAACUGCUGAGUGGAUGCACCAAUUUUACCCUGUUGGGUUUGUUUUUGUUUUUUGAACUUUUUAAACUGUGCAGCUUUCCUAUUGGACUGUAAGCUUCAGGUCAAGGCCUGAGUCUAUCUCCACCAUGAUUUUAUCAGCACCUCUUACAGUAUCUGGAGUUGUGUUUAAGAAGUGAUUGUAAAGGAAGGAGGGAAGGAACCAAGAGAAAAGAAAGUGUAUGGCAGAUUUACUUGAUAGUGAUAAAUUAAGUUUACCUGGAGAAGGACCCUGCAUGAUGGACACACCUGACAGCAGUAACUUAAGCAUGGCCUAAUGGCAGACACACCUGACUUCACUUACGAAAUGAGGGUUGCAAUGUGGAUCUCGCUGCGGGGAAGGCUGCUAAAUGAUACUGCUAUAUAAACUGCAUGCUCUUCAUAAGCAGUUGCUGUUCUGCUGUUCUCCUGCCUGCACGGCCUGCUUCCCCUGCACCUCCCUGAAGCUACUGGAGAGUGUGCUUUACUAAACAAGGGAAUUACGUAAAGGAACGAUGUGAAACUAGGAAACAGGAAAUCCAUCACAGGAGAGGAUGAAGAAACCAAGUUGAUGACAGAGGGUAACAGCUGUGAAAGCGGUUGAAAGAGCAACCAGUUCCGGUUGGAGCAAGAAAACUGAGAACUCUGGGAGAGACGCCUCAAAGAUGAACACAAGGAAAUGAAUACAUCAUUAGUAAGACUUGACAAUGCAAAGGCUUAUCUUGAGUCAUUUGUCAAAGCCAUCAAUGGGAGUGAGAAGAUGUAGCCAAAUGAAUCCAAGUAGGUGAGGGGGGAAAUUUAAAAAAGGUGAUUGUAAAAUGCUCACCUUUUUCUGGGAUUGACAAAAAUUCAGGUAGAAAAGCAAAAGGAAUUCUAACAAUACAAUAUUUAUAUAGUCAUAAUCCUAAAAACACCUGAUAGUAUUUAAUUAAAAUGUGUAAUAUAACUACACUGGAAGAAUGAGGGAGAGAAAGGGAUGCGUCAAACAAAAUCUUAAUAGAAAGUCAGUAAAUAACAUCUGAAAUCAGUGAGUUAAAACAUAGGUCCGUAUUUUAUUUGGAGAAAUGUGGAGGUAAUUACCAGAGAAUAUAACUAAGGGUAGAAUGUGGUUGCCUCUGGCAAACAGGUCAAGGUGGGAGUAAAGGAAAACUGGAGCAGGGGCUGCUGUUAUUAUCAAGUUUUUAUUUGUUCUAUUAAACUAUGUUUUUAUAUUGCUUUGAUAAAUUAAUGUAUUAUUG
rnacentral:lncRNA from 1 species